CCCCUAGUAACGGCGAGUGAAGCGGGAACAGCUCAAAUUUGAAAUCUGGCGGUCUACGGCCGUCCGAGUUGUAGUCUAGAGAGGCGUCUUCCGUGCCGGACCGUGUACAAGUCCCUUGGGAUAGGGCGUCDUAGAGGGUGAGAACCCCGUCAAUGACACGGACCCCCGGUGCUCUGUGAUGCGCCUUCGAAUAGUCGAGUUGUUUGGGAAUGCAGCUCAAAACGGGUGGUAAAUUCCAUCUAAAGCUAAAUACCGGUGGGAGACCGAUAGCGAACAAGUACCGUGAGGGAAAGAUGAAAAGCACUUUGGAAAGAGAGUUAAACAGUACGUGAAAUUGUUGAAAGGGAAACGCUUGGAGUCAGUCGCGUCCGUCGGGAUUCAGCCGGGCUUUUGUCCGGCGCAUUUCUCGGUGGAUGGGCCAGCAUCGAUUUCAGCUGCCGGAAAAGGGUCGGAGGAAUGUGGCACCUUCGGGUGUGUUAUAGCCUCCGAUCGCACACGGUGGCCGGGAUCGAGGACAGCAGCGCGCCUCAGCGGCCGGGGUUCUCCCACGCACGCGCUUAGGAUGC
rnacentral:rRNA from 1 species